rnacentral:rRNA from 1 species
AUUAAUGAAAUUUGAAAGGGGUUGUAGCUGGCCUUUCAGGCAUUUUGUGCACGCCCUGAUCAUAAAUCCUUUCACACCUGUGCACACUCUGUAGGUCGGCUCUCAGGCGGAAGGCUUCAUCGUUUUCGCUCUGUGGAGCCUUCCUAUGUUUUAUUAUGAACUUCUCAGUCCAAAGAAUGUCUGUAGCGUGUAACGCAUCAUAUAUAACUUUCAGCAACGGAUCUCUUGGCUCUCGCAUCGAUGAAGAACGCAGCGAAAUGCGAUAAGUAAUGUGAAUUGCAGAAUUCAGUGAAUCAUCGAAUCUUUGAACGCACCUUGCGCUCCUUGGUAUUCCGAGGAGCAUGCCUGUUUGAGUGUCAUGGAAUUCUCAACUCUGUUUGCUUUUGUAAAUAAGAGCUUGGACUUGGAGGUUGACUGCCGGGGAUACAUUGGUGUUCGUUCGGCUCCUCUUGAAUGCAUUAGCUUGAACCUUUUGUGGAUCAGCUUCGGUGUGAUAAUUGUCGACGCCGUCCUGAGAAGCAUAACUCUGUGGGUUUUUGCUUACAACUGUCCUUCAGGGGACAACACAUUUUGACCUUUGACCUCAAAUCAGGCAGGGUUACCCG